UGCACUGUCAUUUAUUAAACUAAUUCUUCUCACUCAGUCUUUUUCACUGUGUAAUGAUCCUGACACACUGUGUUUUCUCUAUCCCAUCUUUCCCAGGCCCUUCAGUCUUUAUUCCCUCGUUUACCUGAAUCAGGUCGAGGUCCCUCUCUGUUUGAGCGCAGUGCAGGGGCCCCAGGGCCUGAUGGGGACAAGCUGAGACUAGACACUUUUCCUUUCCUCGGCUCAGGGGCUCCUUGUUACUCCAAACCUCCAUCCCUUUUGGGUCCUUACCCACGGAACCCCUCUUUUGACUACCCCUGGGGCUUCAACCCCUACCUCCCAGGGGCCUUUUCUCUGAACAACUGUCCCAAAUUGCCCCCAGGCUCCCUCUACUCCUCACAUUUCUAUCCCAACCCACUCCAUUCCAGCCUGUCUCAGCUGUCACACCCCUUCUCUUCGCUCUUACCCCCCGGAGACACAACCAGUGCAGAACGUGGUCAAACGGGAGGAACAAAUGGCUCUGCGGGCAGUCAGCCUCCCAGACUCUGCAUCCCACCGUACCCAGGGAACUUGCCACUGGGUCGGACUGAGCUGGGGGGCGGGGGUACAGGUGUGGGUGACCGGGAAAGAGGGGAGACCAACACUGGCAUAACGGGUGGAGGUCUUGGUUUGGGCUUAGGCCUAGGAUUGGGUUUGGGUGGAGUUGGCUUGGGAAAUGGAGGAGGAGGCCGUCAAAGCCCUUCUGAGCGGAGAAAGGGUGUGAAGCAGGAUCCGGAGUCUGACUCUGAGCUGGAGAUCACAGACCUGAGCGACUGCAGCUCAGAGAAUGAGAAUGAGCGGGACUUCACUCUGGGGAAGGAGCCAGGGUUGGGUGGUCGCUCACACCUUCUAGAGGCCAAAACUGGGGGUCUCGGGGGAGUUUUGCCCCCUCUCUCUUCUCUUCCUCCACCUAUGUCUCCACAUCCCCUCAAAAGACUGGGACCCCUGACUCCUCCACCAUCAUCCCUGCCUCCAUCCCUCUCUCCUUCCCUCACUAUGAUCGCCCGGCACAGGGAAACAGAGACACUUAAACUUGCUCACAGUUAAUUUGUUCUGUUGUGUGAUUUUUUUUGAUGUCUUGCAGGUUCUCUUGUUCUCUUAUUCUGUCUGUGUAUUCCUGCAUUUGUGAAAUAAUGCUGUAUAUUCCCAUUUAUUUUUUCUUUUCUGGAGUCCUCCGAAGCCAUUCUUUGCUCAUUCAGUUCCAGUAUUAGAGCUUUCAAUUUCUGAUUCGUUAAGUGAGACUCUUGAUGCAAUCUUAGUUUUUGUCAUUCUGAGAGUAAAAGUGCAGCACAAAAAAAACAAAAACAAAAAACAACAACAGCUUUUCGGAUUAGAAUGUGUAAAUGUCUAGGAAUUUUCAUUCUCUCAUUUCUGUUCGGAAACAAUAACAAUGAGAAGUUUUAUAGCCGAUAUAGCACAGUAAUGAAAUAUGCAUAUCUUUUAUCACACAGUUUUUUUUUAGAUUGCACUGCAUUCGGGCCCUGCUGAAACAGGCAGUAAAUUUGUUCAGCUUGGUGCAUUUCAGACUUUUUCACAGCAUUUUCAAGUUAAUGCUAAGCUCUGCAAUAAAGUGUUCAGCUGAAGAGUGUAACA
ensembl:lncRNA